UGUUAUGAAAUAUUUGUGGAUAUCCAUUAUCCUCCUUUGUAUAAUUGCGGAACAAUCUAAAUCUAGAGUUUAUAUUCUUAUCCAUUCAAACCCUAAUAUAUUGUAUUUAUAUAUACCCCCAUUAUAUGGAAUAGAAAUACACUAAUAUAUUCUCUAUCAAUCUCUCUUAUAUUUCUCUCUAUUUUAUAACAAUGACUACCAUUUGAGAAUUUUCCUUGAAUUUAUUCUACAUUUCUGUUUUAAGAACAUAGCCCCUUACAAAGCCACCACCACCUCCUCUCAACGUUUCCAUUGAAGCGCACCCUAUUGAAGCAGCCUACGAGGUUGAGAUGGAUUAUGGUCCCUUCGUAAAAUCUGGAAUUGGUUACACGGGAGAUGAUGUAGAACAAUUUGCUGAAUUGUUUUCGGUGAGGAUUAAACAUAAUGCACUUGAGAAGUUUCGAGUUUAUGGCACCAUAUUUGUUGAAGACGACGAGGGUACUUUUUGCAUCUUCACUCAACAAGAUGAUGAUGGAAUUGAUGCCGAUCUUAUAAAUGGCUCCUUGCCUCUAACUUUUAAUCGCGCAAUCUGUGCUAACUCAAAUUUCACUAUUUCCUUUGAUCUCAAAGAUGAAGAUGGUUAUACAAUUGAGGGCAAAUUUGUUGCAGAAAUAGAACCGGGAAAAAAUGGCAAUUUUAAAUAAUUGGGUGUUGAUAGUAUGUUUGGCAGUAUGGGUUGUGCAACCAUAUAUUACACUUUUAACCAAGCAGCAAAUAUUUAUGCUAUAAAGGAUUCUAUUCUUAUGAAACACAGCUUUGAUUCUGCUAACUCUGAAGAUCACCAUGGGCGGAGCUAGAAGGGGACAUGUGGGGACACUUGUCCCCCCAUUUUCAAAAAAAAAAAUUUUUAAAAAAAAAAAAAUUUAAAAAAAAAAAAAA